AGUGAACGCUGGCGGUAGGCCUAACACAUGCAAGUCGAACGGCAGCACAGUAAGAGCUUGCUCUUACGGGUGGCGAGUGGCGGACGGGUGAGGAAUACAUCGGAAUCUACUUUUUCGUGGGGGAUAACGUAGGGAAACUUACGCUAAUACCGCAUACGACCUACGGGUGAAAGCAGGGGAUCUUCGGACCUUGCGCGAUUGAAUGAGCCGAUGUCGGAUUAGCUAGUUGGCGGGGGAAAGGCCCACCAAGGCGACGAUCCGUAGCUGGUCUGAGAGGAUGAUCGGCCACACUGGAACUGAGACACGGUCCAGACGCCUACGGGAGGCAGCAGUGGGGAAUAUUGGACAAUGGGCGCAAGCCUGAUCCAGCCAUACCGCGUGGGUGAAGAAGGCCUUCGGGUUGUAAAGCCCUUUUGUGGGGAAAGAAAAGCAGCAGGUUAAUACCCCGCUGUUCUGACGGUACCCAAAGAAUAAGCACCGGCUAACUUCGUG
rnacentral:rRNA from 1 species